rnacentral:rRNA from 1 species
AUUGAACGCUGGCGGCAGGCCUAACACAUGCAAGUCGAACGAGUGGCGGACGGGUGAGUAAUGUCUGGGAAACUGCCCGAUGGAGGGGGAUAACUACUGGAAACGGUAGCUAAUACCGCAUACCAUCGGAUGUGCCCAGAUGGGAUUAGCUAGUAGGUGGGGUAACGGCUCACCUAGGCGACGAUCCCUAGCUGGUCUGAGAGGAUGACCAGCCAAACUGGAAAUGAGACACGGUCAAGACUCCUAAGGGAGGCAGCAGGGGGGAAUAUGGAGCAAUGGUGGAAAGCCUGAGGAAGCCAUGCCGCGUGGAUGAAGAAGGACUGCGUGUUGGAAAGUUCUUUCAGUUACGAGGCGGUACUUGCAGAAGAAGUACCGGCUAACUCCGGGCCAGCAGCCGCGGUAAUAC